GUAGCUCUGCGGGUCCGUGCUGGGCGCGAUGGCGGACUGGGCUCGGGCUCAGAGCCCCGGCGCUGUGGAGGAGAUUCUAGACCGGGAGAACAAGCGGAUGGCGGACACCUUGGCCUCCAAGGUCACCAGGCUCAAGUCGCUGGCCUUGGACAUUGAUAGGGAUGUGGAGGACCAGAACCGGUACCUGGACGGCAUGGACUCGGAUUUCACGAGUGUGACGGGCCUCCUCACGGGGAGUGUGAAGCGCUUUUCCACAAUGGCGAGAUCUGGGCGAGACAACCGGAAGCUUCUCUGUGGUGUGGCCAUGGGCCUGAUCGUGGUCUUCUUCAUCCUCUCCUACCUCCUGUCAAGGGCAAGGACGUGAGCCAGUGGGAACUGGUUUCUGUAGGUACCUGGGACAACCAGGGUCUUCCUCUGCCUUGUGUCCUGGGCUCCAGAAGAUCUACCUACAAAAUACCCCUUCGAAGUGAUGAGCAUGGCUUAGGAAUCUUUUUCCUGUGUGGCUGGGAGCCUCUGACCCAGUAAGCUCAUGUUAGCUGGUCCCAUGUGUGCAAGGGGCCCAUCCCCAUUGGGUAACCAAGGCCCAGCUUCCUCUGCCAUCUUGGGUGCUAGAAGCCCUAGCAGAGCCAGGUUGGAGCAGAGCAGCUGGGAAUCCUGGACGUGACCACCUGUGACCAGCAGCCCUUCCCCCAGCCCUCAGGGUUCUGAUGUAUUGAGGCUUCUCUGCUUGGUCUUGGUCUGGAUAAGGCCACGUCUGGUAUUCGAGGUGCCCAGAGCCGACACAGGAAGGGGUGCGACUGUGAACCUCGAAUCAUUGCUGUCACUUUCAGCCAAGGGUCCUCAAACCAGAGAUGGCCGUUGCUCCUGGCCAGGGCUGCCGGGCACUGGUGGACCAGCAAGAGUCAAGGGUCCUGCCGAGAGGUGUCUGCCUGCCGUCCAACCCCAUGGCUGGAGCCCGACCCUCAGGGAAGGGCAGUGGCCAUGCGUGGAGAAGUGAACUGCAGCAUUGGCUGAAGACGCGGGCCCAGGUCCUCCUGGUCUCCCUGUGUCCAGGAGCAGAAACUGACCUUUUCUCAGGAUUCAGGGUCUGUCCAGCACCGAGACACGUUUCCAGGAGCCCAGAUCUCUAGAAAGAGGCUCAUCUGGCAUGUCAGAGUCAGGCAGGUUUCUUCCAAACCAAUGGGUCUUUCUACCCCACUGUGAGAUCUCAGUGUCUUCCCAUGAAAACACCUGUAAGAAACGAGUCAUCAGCUCUGUCCUUCCCGUCUUUUGUUCCAGUUCUCUGUCUUCCUGGUCACUCCCCUUCACUCUCUGAGGGCUACCGGCUCACCGGCCAUCUUCACACAUACACAUGUGGUCAUAUGUCAGCCACAGCCUGUGCCUCUCAACUCCUGCCACCCCACCCUGCUCUGGUCUCUGGCCCUGGGCACCUCACCUUCUGGCCCUGCUGCUCCUGCUCCUCCUCUCUCUCUCCUUUGUUCUCCACCGAGCAGGCCUGGCUUGUCUCACACUCACCAUAAUGCCCUUCUCUUUUCCACUGCGCCUGGUUGGGCCUCAGCCUUCUGGAAGGGGAGCGUGCUACCUUCUCAUUUCCGAGUGCUCUGUUCUUACUGCCUCCAUCCCUCCAGUGUGUGCUUGUUUCUCACUCGGUGAGGUCCGCUUCCUUGCCUCCAUGGCUUCGACUCAGCCGUCAGCUCAUCUCAUGUUGAAAUUUGUCACAGGGACGUGCCUACUGUUCAUGAAGCUCAGCAGCUGCUGCCGUGUCGUGUUUCCAUCGGGUCACCACAGGCACGGCAGACACAUCAGACCUGAGUGUGGCAGCCGCCUGUUCUGGGCCUGCUAACCUGGCUUCCUGAGAAUAU
rnacentral:lncRNA from 1 species